CAGUAGCCGCGGUAAUACGAAGGGUGCAAGCGUUACUCGGAAUUACUGGGCGUAAAGCGUGCGUAGGUGGUGGUUUAAGUCCGUUGUGAAAGCCCUGGGCUCAACCUGGGAAUUGCAGUGGAUACUGGGUCACUAGAGUGUGGUAGAGGAUAGUGGAAUUUCCGGUGUAGCGGUGAAAUGCGUAGAUAUAGGAAGGAACAUCAGUGGCGAAGGCGACCACCUGGACUGAUACUGACACUGAGGUGCGAAAGCGUGGGGAGCAAACAGGAUUAGAUACCCCAGUAGUCCCUGUCUCUUAUAC
rnacentral:rRNA from 1 species